UUAGGUUAGAUAUUAGGAAAAACUUUUAAACUACAAGUGUAGGUAAGCUCUGGAAUAGAUUUCCAAGGGAGAUUGAGAAGGUUUUUAAAACAGGUUG